AUAUCCUCUGCUUUGAUCCUCUUUCCAGAUGGGAAAAGAAAACAUUUGCCAAAUCAACAACUGAAACCGCCAUUGCAAAAUUAUAACUGAGACAGUGAAAGAGAAACAGGGCCGGCAGGACCAGAGGCUCCCCCUCCUGGGUCAGAUUAUGCAGUAAGGAGCUUCACAGAAUAUGACUGGAAAUACACAUACCCACUUUUCUGUUAAAUUCAGGAAGCAGUUGCUAAACACAACUAACAGAGCAAAGGGCAAGAGGCCUGGGUGAAGAAAUACCCUCAGAAACUCCCACUCUUCUGGUUCCUGCUGAAGACUCCACUAAUAAGAGUUAUUCAUACCUACCUCCACCAUCUUGGCUGGGAAGUCAAGGAAGAAGAUAGCAGCCCGCAACCCGGAAGAGGGCCCUCACCAGAACCUACCAUGCUGGCACCCAGACCUCAGACUUCCAGCCUCCGGAACGAUGGAGUUUCCCUCUUGUCGCCUAGGCUGGAGUGCAAUGGCGUGAUCUCCACUCACUGCAACCUCCGCCUCCAAGGGUUUCAAGUAAUUCUCCUACCUCAGCAUCCUGAGUAGCUGGGAUUACAGACACCAUCUGGCUCUGUCACCCAGGCUGGAGUGCAGUGGCCUGGUCACAGCUCACUGCAGCUUCAACUUCCCUGGCUCAAGUGAUCCUCCCUCCUCACCCUACAGGCAUGCACCACCGUGCCCAGGAGCUCCCUCUGCUGCAGGAACUCAACGAUAGGGAGGAAGAGUCCAGAAGAGUAGGGCUGUCAGCACCCCUGUGAGCAGCCAAUGAUCCACAGCGGAUGGAGUUUGGUGGUAAAGGCACUCACUUCCUGUCUCUCUGGUGAUGAUUUUGAGCAUGUUCUACAAAGUCUUUCAGAUGGUCCCAGUAGGUUGGAGCCCAGCUGCCCUCAGUGGUGACCUGCCCAUUAAUGUAUCCUGUGUUGGUUUCCUUUCCUUCCCUACCUCACCUCCCCACUCCCCUUUCUAUGAUUCCUAGAGUCACCUCCCAAAUAAACCUUCACAUUUA
rnacentral:lncRNA from 1 species